rnacentral:rRNA from 1 species
GACGAACGCUGGCGGCGUGCCUAAUACAUGCAAGUAGAACGCUGAAGGAGGAGCUUGCUCUUCUGGAUGAGUUGCGAACGGGUGAGUAACGCGUAGGUAACCUGCCUGGUAGCGGGGGAUAACUAUUGGAAACGAUAGCUAAUACCGCAUAAGAGUAGAUGUUGCAUGACAUUUGCUUAAAAGGUGCAAUUGCAUCACUACCAGAUGGACCUGCGUUGUAUUAGCUAGUUGGUGGGGUAACGGCUCACCAAGGCGACGAUACAUAGCCGACCUGAGAGGGUGAGCGGCCACACUGGGACUGAGACACGGCCCAGACUCCUACGGGAGGCAGCAGUAGGGAAUCUUCGGCAAUGGACGGAAGUCUGACCGAGCAACGCCGCGUGAGUGAAGAAGGUUUUCGGAUCGUAAAGCUCUGUUGUAAGAGAAGAACGAGUGUGAGAGUGGAAAGUUCACACUGUGACGGUAUCUGACCAGAAAGGGACGGCUAACUACGUG